rnacentral:rRNA from 1 species
UAGGGAAUUUUCGGCAAUGGACGAAAGUCUGACCGAGCAAUGCCGCGUGAACGAAGAAGUAUUUCGGUAUGUAAAGUUCUUUUAUUAGGGACGAAAAAACAAAUUGACGGUACCUAAUGAAUAAGCUCCGGCUAACUACGUGCCAGCAGCCGCGGUAAUACGUAGGGAGCGAGCGUUAUCCGGAAUUAUUGGGCGUAAAGGGUGCGUAGAUGGCACAUUAAGUUUUCUGUAAAAAUGCUAGGCUCAACCUAGUAGGGCAGAAAAUACUGAUGAGCUAGAGUACGACAGAGGCAAGUGGAACUCCAUGUGUAGCGGUAAAAUGCGUAAAUAUAUGGAAGAACACCAGUGGCGAAGGCGGCUUGCUAGGUCGAUACUGACAUUGAGGCACGAAAGCGUGGGGAGCAAACAGG